GACGAACGCUGGCGGCGUGCCUAAUACAUGCAAGUUGAGCGAUGAAGAUUGGUGCUUGCACCAAUUUGAAGAGCAGCGAACGGGUGAGUAACGCGUGGGGAAUCUGCCUUUGAGCGGGGGACAACAUUUGGAAACGAAUGCUAAUACCGCAUAACAACUUUAAACAUAAGUUUUAAGUUUGAAAGAUGCAAUCGCAUCACUCAAAGAUGAUCCCGCGUUGUAUUAGCUAGUUGGUGAGGUAAAGGCUCACCAAGGCGAUGAUACAUAGCCGACCUGAGAGGGUGAUCGGCCACAUUGGGACUGAGACACGGCCCAAACUCCUACGGGAGGCAGCAGUAGGGAAUCUUCGGCAAUGGACGAAAGUCUGACCGAGCAACGCCGCGUGAGUGAAGAAGGUUUUCGGAUCGUAAAACUCUGUUGGUAGAGAAGAACGUUGGUGAGAGUGGAAAGCUCAUCAAGUGACGGUAACUACCCAGAAAGGGACGGCUAACUACGUG
rnacentral:rRNA from 1 species